GGUGAACAGUAAACUUGGAUCUCUGCACUAUAUUGGGAAUCCAGGACAAAUGCUAUCCUGGAGUCAUUCAGCCCGGGACCGGGACUUGAUGUUUCCAUUUUGGG